rnacentral:rRNA from 1 species
AGUCGGACGAUGAAGCCCUUUCGGGGGUGGAUUAGUGGCGAACGGGUGAGUAACACGUGAGCAACCUGCCCUUGACUCUGGGAUAAGCCUGGGAAACUGGGUCUAAUACCGGAUAGGACCCCUUGCCGCAUGGUGGGGCGGUGGAAAGCAGUGAGCGGUCUUGGAUGGGCUCGCGGCCUAUCAAGCUUUGUGUGGUGGGCGUGACUGCGCCUCAACAAGGCAAACAUCGGAUACGCCGGCCAUAGAGAGGGUGCACCGGCCCACAUUGUGAUUGAGACUCGUCCCAGACUCCUACCGGGAGGCAGCAGUGGGGMAUAUUGCACAAUGGGCGCAAGCCUGAUGCAGCGACGCCGCGUGGGGGAUGACGGCCUUCGGGUUGUAAAYCCCUUUCGGCAGGGAACAAGCCCCUUGGGGUGAGGGUACCUGCGGAAGAAGCGCYGGCUAACUACGUGCCAGCAGCCGCGGUAAUACGUAGGGCGCGAGCGUUAUCCGGAAUUAUUGGGCGUAAAGAGCUCGUAGGCGGUUUGUCGCGUCUGCUGUGAAAGCCCGGGGCUCAACCCCUGGGUCUGCAGUGGGUACCGGGCAGGCUGGAGUGCAGUAGGGGAGACUGGAAUUCCUGGUGUAGCGGUGAAAUGCGCAGAUAUCAGGAGGAACACCGAUGGCGAASGCASGUCUCUGGGCUGUAACUGACGCUGAGGAGCGAAAGCAUGGGGAGCGAACAGGAUUAGAUACCCUGGUAGUCCCAUGCUGUAAACGUUGGGCACUAGGUGUGGGGGCCAUUCCACGGUUUCCGCGCCGCAGCUAACGCAUUAAGUGGCCCCGCCUGGGGGAGUACGGCCGCAAGGCUAAAACUCAAAGGAAUUGACCGGGGGCCGCGCACAAGCGGCGGAGCAUGCGGAUUAAUUCGAUGCAACGCGAAGAACCUUACCAAGGCUUGACAUGUGCCGGACCGUCCCAGACGAUGGGGCUUCGCCUUCGGGGCCGGUUCACAGGCUGGUGCAUGGUUGUCGUCAUGCCUCGUGUCGUGAGAGUGUCUGGKUUARGUCCCGCAAGCGAGCGCAACCACKCGUUCCGAUGUUGCCUCCACUUCCGGUGGGGACUCAUGGGRGACCUCCGGGGUCAACUCGGAGGAAGGUGGGGACGACGUCAAAUCAUCAUGCCCCUUACUGUCUUGGGCUUCACGCAUGCUACAAUGGCCGGUACAAAGGGUCUGCGAUACUGUGAGGUGGAGCCAAUCCCAGAAAGCCGGUCUACAGUUCGGAUUGUGGGUCUGCAACUCGGCCCCAUGAAGUCGGAGUCGCUAGUMAUCGCAGAUCAGCAACGCUGCGGUGAAUACGUUCCCGGGCCUUGUACACACCGCCCGUCAAGUCACGAAAGUCGGUAACACCCGAAGCCGGUGGCCCAACCCCUUGUGGGGGGGAGCCGUCGAAGGUG